rnacentral:rRNA from 1 species
UGAGUAGCACGUGGUGUAACCUGCCCAUAAGACUGGGAUAACUCCGGGAAACCGGGGCUAAUACCGGAUUAACAUUUUGAACUGCAUGGUUCUGAAAUUGAUAGUGCGUGCUUCGCGCUGUCACUUAUGCGAUAGUGACCCUGCAGUCUGCAUUAGCGNAGGUUGGUGAGUGUAACUGNGCUCACCAAUGGCAACGAUGCUGUAGCCAGACCUGAGAGGGUGAUCUGGCCACACUGNGGACUGAGACACGGCCCAGACUCCUACGGGAGGCAGCAUGUAGGGAAUCUUCCGCAAUGGACGAAAGUCUGACGGAGCAACUGCCGCGUGAGUGAUGAAGGCUUUCGGGUCGUAAAACUCUGUUGUUAGGGAAGAACAAGUGCUAGUUGAAUAAUGCGUGGCACCUUGACGGUACCUAACCAGAAAGCCACGGUAACUACGUGCCAGCAGACGCGGUAAUACGUAGGUGGCAAAGCGUUAUCCGGAAUUAUUUGGGCGUAAAGCGCGCGC